UUUCCGUAGGUGAACCUGCGGAAGGAUCAUUAUUGUAUAACCGAGGUGCGAGGGCUGUCGCUGACCCGAAAGGUCGUGCACGCCCGAGUGCCCUCACACACAUCCAUCUCACCCCUAUGUGCACCACCGCGUGGGUCCCCCUUUGGCUUGUUCGGAGGGGGGCUUACGUUUUCACACAAACUUUGUAUGCAGUGUAGAACGAAUUUUUUGUUUUUGCGAUCACGCAAUCAAUACAACUUUCAACAACGGAUCUCUUGGCUCUC
rnacentral:misc_RNA from 1 species